rnacentral:rRNA from 1 species
GUCAGGCGGGGCCACCCG